GAAAUGCGAUAAGUAGUGUGAAUUGCAGAAUUCAGUGAAUCAUCGAAUCUUUGAACGCACAUUGCGCCCCUCGGUAUUCCGUGGGGCAUGCCUGUUCGAGCGUCAUCUACACCCUCAAGCUCUGCUUGGUGUUGGACGUCUGUCCCGCCUCCUUCGCGCGCGGACUCGCCCCAAAUCCAUUGGCGGCGGCCCUUGCCUCCCUCUCGCGCAGCACAUUGCGCUUCUCGAGGCGCGGCGGACCGCGUCCAGCAAGCAACCGUCACACCGUCUUUGACCUCGGAUCAGGUAGGGAUACCCGCUGAACUUAAGC
rnacentral:misc_RNA from 1 species